AAUCGUACACUCUAAUAUGGUGUGUAUGCAUGAUCUCUGUGAAGACCUAGAAUUUUAAUUCAUUACAUAUGUAUUUUUUAUCUCUCUCAAAUAGUAACGUAAUUUCGGCCCAAUUUUAUUAAAUUAGAUUAAUAUUGUUUUUUUUUUCAGCCCAAACAAAAGAGAGAGAUCUAGAAGCCACUCUCUAGCUAAACCUACAAACCAACAAAGAGAAUUAUUUCUUCUUAUCAUUUCCUUUCCUUAUUCAUUUUGUAAUUACCUUUUACUGUAUGCCUAGUGACAUUAUAGUAUACUGAUUAUUGAAGACUAUCUAACUAGGAGGUGGACGGUUUUUAGGAAACGGUGAAAAUCUUAAGCAGGAGGUGGGGGGAGCUAGGGCUGUGGAGUCUAUGGCUGAAGUUGGCAGUUAUGUGAACUUUUGGAUUCUGAAUGGGGCAGCUAACUAAUCUCAGCUAUAAAGCAGGUGGGCAGCUAAAUAAUGUUUGUAUUCUUUAAUUUGAUCUGAAGAAAAACCCUUGAGUACCUAUUUCAUGUUCCUAUCGUCCUUUUUGAAGCUCUGAAAAGGCAAAAGAAUUUAAGUUGCAUAGUGUUCAUAAUUUUCUUGGUGCAGAUUUCAAUACUGUCAGUUUCGUAGUCCCUUCUUUCUUCCUUGUUUUCUUACAUUAAAAAGCUUGAUUGAAGAGGGGGCAUAAGCUUUAAAUCGAGUAUUUACACAAAUUUUCAUUUAUAUUUGAUGGUUUAAAACCAUGUUCAAAAAGGUCCCUUUGAACCUGUGUAAAACUCUGGUGCAGAUUUUUCUGCAAAUACUUUCUAUUUCAACUCGUGAUUUCUCUCCCUCCAUAUCUCAAAUUUUAACAAAUUUUAUAUCGUUGGAAAGAUUAUUCUUCAAGAUUUCCAAUUAUAAUUUCAUACAUUUUCGUUGAGUUUUGAUUUGUGAAAAAAGUUGUUCAUAGAUAUUCUGUCUGCAAAACUGGAAAACAUAUAAGUUUUUCUGCAUUGUUUUUGGUAGGGACGAUGAACAGUGAUUUUAUAUUAUAGUAUUCUAUAUUUGCUUUAUUUGUCAUUUCUUUUUACUCCGACAUUCAGCUAUAGACUUGAGGGUGCCUAAGAGCACGAGAAAAACUAAGGAAAGAAAUAUUAGCUUGCUUGGAGUCGAGGUAGGGGAUUUAGGGAUUAAUAUUUGAAUAGAACUCUAUAAGUUAAUCAUUCACUUAUAUCUAAUCAUGUACUUGUAUUGAUAAGGUUUAUAUGUUUCUGUUUCUGUUUCUAUUAUUGAUUGAGUGAUAUGCUUACACAGAUACUGCGAGUCUUGAAUUUGAUAUCCUUGAUCAAUAUCGUUGUGAUGAUUUAUGGUUAAUAAACUAUUGGCAUAUGAUUGGUAUAUGAUGCUUCUAAAUAUGAAC
rnacentral:lncRNA from 1 species